ensembl:lncRNA
AUGCAUGUGUGUGUGUGUGUGUGUGUGUGUGUGUGUGUGUGUGUGUGUGUGUGUGUGUGUGUGUGUGUGUGGAGAGAACAACUCUGUGCCCCACCGGGGCCGGCUGGGAGUUUGUGGGGCAGAACGUCAGCAGAGCCGCGGGCGAGCUCCACACUGAGGGAAAUGACAGCCUCCAGGCCACCAUUGGUUGAUGACCGUGAAACUCUUGCGGUUAACGUAAAGCGAGCGAGAGGCUGGCACAGCGAGGACUGUGAGGCUGUGUGCAGUUCUGCCAGCAACACAAGCCCCUCUCCAACUACUCUGCAGUACAGAAACAAAACAACAGAGUCUGUGUUACAAUUCCUAACACCAGCAGCUAUGCCAUCCAAGGAGGCUGGGCUCAGAGACGCUGCAGCUGUCUGGGCCGGGACAGGAGAGUGUGACAGCGCCCUCCUCUGGUGAUGGAGGGUCCAUUAGUCUGCUUAUUAGCCCACCUGUCACCACUACGACACCAUCUCACCUGGAGGUGCCUCCAGCACACUAAUGUGCAGACCUACCCUUGCCCCAUCACAACAAUACUUUGGUAAUAGAAGUAAUGGCUCUAUGCUUCUGUGAUCCACACGUCCUUGAUCAUCAUGAGGUUGUUUCCAACCUGGUAACAGCAUAACAAAUCAUCCAUGAGAGACAUGCACCUCAGUGGACUCAUGAUUGCUUGAACAAUGAAGCCAUUAACACCACAUUAUGUAAAUAAUAAUUGACAAAAACAUCUAAUAGGAUAAAGGCUUAAGUACAGUGCAAUAUAAUGCCGCUGACUUUAACUGGCUCUUUGAAUGAUGUUUUCAAUUAUAACCUUGCUAAUGUAAUUCAUUGUUUCACAGCCGAAAAUGCAUUUUUAAAGCUUCACUGAGUCUCCAUUUCAGAAAUCAGGUUUAAUCAGUCAUGUACAUUGAACACAUGCACUGGAACGUCCUCUAAAGAGAUUGACAAAGUUGCCCGGGAUCUGUGCUCGCUACGGCUCUUAAAAGGGACAUAACCCCCCUCCCCUCCAUGGCAGGUUUCUAUUGUGGAGGGAAAGUGUUCAUCUGAUAUUUGAAAGGCCUGUGCCUUUAAGAGGGCUGUCCCCCCCCCCCCCCCUUUUCCUAAUGCUCCCCCCCCCCCCCCCCCCCCCCCCCAACUACACAGAGUAGACACUCCUCCUGCGAGCAUUUGUGAGGCAGCUCCUGUCCCUUACGUCUCUUUGUGGGGAAACAGAGGGCACACUUUCUAGAGCAUAACUGGAGACAGAGACACAGAGUUCCAGGCAGGACGCCCAGGGUUCCAGCCUACAGCCACCCCUGGCCCAGCCCUGCAGGGGACAGCUCCCCCAGAGCACCUUGGCCAAGAGGUUCACGAAAGGAGAAGAGAUGCUAAUCAACUGGACCGUCCCAGAAAGUGAGAUGACAUGAAUGAUAUGAAUCCAACUGAUAAAUGCUGGAUCUGAACCCUAAGUGAGAAGGUGUAUUGAGUGUGUUGUCUAAAGUAACCGUUUUCUCUUGAAAAGUUAGACUGAAGCAUCGAAGUCUCCAGGUUACAAGGAUAAAGGCUCAUCGAGAGAAAACAAGAGAAAGGACACUUCAGCUGAGAAUUUAUGCAUUUUCAAGUAUUUUUUUUUUUUUUACAUCUUGAAUUGCCCCAUUUGUAUUCUCAAUUCACCACCCAGCGUUUAUCUUAUUUUUUCAGCUGUCUGUAAAGCAGCAUGAAAGACUCCAUUGAAAGCACUUUCUGCGAGCCGGAUAAUAUUCCUGUCUGAAGCCUUGUAACUUUCGCAGACGUCUACAGAAAAAACCUCUAACAAGAAUAAGAAAACAAUGCUGUGCUGGAUCCCAUAUGAGUAAGGGUCUCUGACUGGACUUUUAUGAUUGGA